rnacentral:rRNA from 1 species
AAUAUUGGACAAUGGGCGAAAGCCUGAUCCAGCAAUGCCGCGUGUGUGAAGAAGGUCUUCGGUUUGUAAAGCACUUUAAGUUGGGAGGAAGGGCAGUAAGCUAAAACCUUGCUGUUUUGACGUUACCACCAGAAUAAGCACUGGCGAACUUCCUGCGAGCAGCAGCGGUAACACGAAUGGUGCAAGCGUUAAUCGGAAUUACUGGGCGUAAAGCGCGCGUAGGUGGUUCGUUAAGUUGGAAGUGAAAGCCCCGGGCUUAACCUGGGAAUUGCUUUCAAAACUGGCAAGCUAGAGUAUGGCAGAGGGUGGUGGAAUUUCCUGUGUAGCGGUGAAAUGCGUAGAUAUAGGAAGGAACACCAGUGGCGAAGGCGACCACCUGGGCUAAUACUGACACUGAGGUGCGAAAGCGUGGGGAGCAAACAGG